GAAUGUUUUUGUGCCCUGAUAGGUGUAGUAAUGUGUAACAACCCCCAUCUCACAUAAGGAAACAAAAUUAAAAAAAAAAAUACUGUGAAAGGUUGAAGUUUUUGUGGGGGGAUGUGGGAAAACACCAAUCAUGUUAGGAAGAGCAAAAUAAUUUCCCCAGUGCAGGUAGGACCACUCACUUAACGACGUGAGUUGCAAGACACAGUAGAAGCUUGCUCAAAGGAGAAGUGGGGGGAGGAAGAGUUACCGACAGACAUUUGAACAAAACAUAGCACAAAAUGGCACCAUGAAAACACGGUCAAAGAAAAUAAAGUUUUACAAAUAAAAUUACAAUAGUGCUUACAUACAUAUUCAGCAAAUAGAACAAAACAAUAGAAAACAGUAGUGCAAGUGUUUUAUAAAUACAUAUACAAUUCAUUGCAAGUAUGUUCUUUGUGG